rnacentral:rRNA from 1 species
UACGUAGGUGACAAGCGUUGUCCGGAUUUACUGGGCGUAAAGAGCGCGCAGGCGGUCGUUCAAGUCGAGUGUGAAAGCCCCCGGCUCAACUGGGGAGGGUCAUUCGAUACUGAUCGACUCGAAGGCAGGAGAGGGAAGUGGAAUUCCCGGUGUAGUGGUGAAAUGCGUAGAUAUCGGGAGGAAACACCAGUGGCGAAGGCGACUUCCUGGCCUGUUCUUGACGCUGAGGCGCGAAAGCUAGGGGAGCAAACGGGG